UCCGGAGGGGGCUAUCGUUGUUCGGAAUUACUGGGCGUAAAGCGCACGUAGGCGGCUUUUCAAGUCAGAGGUGAAAGCCCGGGGCUCAACCUCGGAAUUGCCUUCGAUACUGUCGGUCUCGAGUCCGGGAGAGGUGAGUGGAAUUCCUAGUGUAGAGGUGAAAUUCGUAGAUAUUAGGAAGAACACCAGUGGCGAAGGCGGCUCACUGGCCCGGUACUGACGCUCAGGUGCGAAAGCGUGGGGAGCAAACAGG
rnacentral:rRNA from 1 species